rfam:Myotis lucifugus cont2.24225, whole genome shotgun sequence.
GACAGUUCUCAGGUGGUGCUCCCCAGAAUCGGGCUCCUUCCUCUCUGGUUCUGGGUGCGUCACCCGAGAACCGCA